rnacentral:rRNA from 1 species
UACGUAGGGUGCGAGCGUUGUCCGGAAUUAUUGGGCGUAAAGAGCUCGUAGGCGGUCUGUCGCGUCGAUCGUGAAAACUUGGGGCUUAACCCUGAGCUUGCGGUCGAUACGGGCAUGACUGGAGUUCGGCAGGGGAGACUGGAAUUCCUGGUGUAGCGGUGAAAUGCGCAGAUAUCGGGAAGAACACCCGUGGCGAAGGCGGUUCUCUGGGACGGUACUGACGCUGAGACGCGAAAGCGUGGGGAGCGAACAGG